AGUGCUGAGGUGCUAGAGACACUGGAUGACAGCUUGAUUUGAUUCUAGAUGGAAUGAAUUGCAUGUAAGAAAAGGUAGGUGAAUCUUUGAAUGGUAAAGAGGACUACACAGUGAGAAGUGAGUCAGUCUUGCUACAAAAGUUCUGGGGAAAAAACUAACCAAAAAAAUAACUCUUUGAAGGGUUAGAUUACAUUACAGGUAUUUAGCAGACUCUUAUUAAAAACAUUACACCACACUGCUACCCAAACACUAUUGUGCGUAUGUCACAGAAAUAAAUACGGUAAACAGAACCCUGAUUGGUCAAGGCCAUUUCCUCAUUCAGCUAAAAACCUCAAACCACAGUGAGGUGACACAAAAGAGAUAUAAAAAGGGCAGGCAGACCGUUGGCAACAAACUCGUCACAACGGUCCAGAAAUGGCGGAAUCGACGAUGUCCAUUUCUGACGGCACAUACACGGAUCUCACCUCUCCAGACCAUAACGUGUACGAAUCAUUGGGGGCGAGACCGAGCAAAACAGGACAAAGCUCUCCUCUCUACAGACAGGCUGCAGUGGCUCUGGGGCUGCUGUGUGUCAUCUUACUGACUGCCACCAUCACCCUGUGUGUCCUCUAUACAAGAGGUCUGGAGGAGCCCAAUGGCCACAAUAGCACUGUCUGUGUUGACAAAUACCAGCCAUGGAAAGACUACAACAACCUAUCUACUGCGAAAGACCAACUACAGACAGACUACAAUAGCCUAGUUACUGCGAAAGAGAAACUACAGACAGACUACAAUAGCCUAGUUACUGCGAAAGAGAAACUACAGACAGACUACAAUAGCCUAGUUACUGCGAAAGAGAAACUACAGACAGACUACAAUAGCCUAGUUACUGCGAAAGAGAAACUACAGACAGACUACAAUAGCCUAGUUACUGCGAAAGAGAAACUACAGACAGACUACAAUAGCCUAGUUACUGCGAAAGAGAAACUACACACAGACUACGACAGCCUCACCUUGCCUGCUGCUUAAAUGGCCAUGGGGCACAACGCUGUCCACACUGGAGGGCGGCCUGUAGUGUAGUGGUUAAGGUAAAGGACUGGGACACGCAAGGUUGGUGGUUCUAAUCCCGGAGUAGCCACAAUACGAUCCGCACAGCCGUUGGGCCCUUGAGCAAGGCCCUUAACCCUGCAUUGCUCCAGGGGAGGAUUGUCUCCUGCUUAGUCUAAUCAACUGAACGUCGCUCUGGAUAAGAGCGUCUGCCAAAUGCCAAUAAUGUAAUGUAAUGUUAUGAAAUGCACAGGAACUGAACUGCACAGGUUCCACCGGUCUGUUUCCUGCCUCACCAUUGCAUCAUCACACAGAGCCUGAGUGAAAAUAAACUAAACAAUAAGCAGUUAUCUUGGUUCCACACACACACGAAGGACAGGGCCAUUGGUUGAUAAAGUGUUCCCUUUACCAAUGUCCAGACAUGAUCUCAGGUAUAACUUUGUGCCUUGGAAAUGGCUAAAUAUAAUGUAUCUAAUGUGUGCAUAAUUGACAUGUUGCGUGCUUCCUCACAAAGUCAUGAAUUAAAAUCACCAUCCUUUGUUUUCAA